AUACGGAGGGAGCAAGCGUUGUUCGGAAUUACUGGGCGUAAAGGGCGCGUAGGCGGCCUUGUAAGUCGGGUGUGAAAUGCCGGGGCUCAACUCCGUGCACUGCAUUCGAUACUGCUUGGCUAGAGAGAGGUAGAGGCGAGCGGAAUUCCCGGUGUAGCGGUGGAAUGCGUAGAUAUCGGGAAGAACAUCUGCGGCGAAGGCGGCUCGCUGGGCCUCAUCUGACGCUGAAGCGCGAAAGCGUGGGGAGCAAACAGGAUUAGAAACCCCGGUAGUCC
rnacentral:rRNA from 1 species